GUCCACACAUCUGUUGGCUAGCUAUAUUUACCUUGUAUCAAUUUGAAAUAUAUUGAAAUCUAACUUUUUUUUCUUUCUUUUCAACAUAGCCCAAUUAUAUUCAUUGGUAAACGGCAUUGUGCAAAAGGAAAAAAGUAACUAACAAUAAAAUAAAGAACAUAGAACACCUUUAUAGCCAGGCAUGUUAUUGUGUUUAUCGGACAUUAAAGAAAAAUAAUGUUUAAUUACC
rnacentral:sRNA from 1 species